rnacentral:rRNA from 1 species
UACAGAGGGUGCGAGCGUUAAUCGGAAUUACUGGGCGUAAAGCGCGCGUAGACGGUUUUGUAAGUCAGAUGUGAAAUCCCCGGGCUUAACCUGGGAAUGGCAUUGGUGACUGUACGGCUAGAGUUUGGCAGAGGGGGGUAGAAUUCCACGUGUAGCAGUGAAAUGCGUAGAUAUGUGGAGGAACACCGAUGGCGAAGGCAGCCCCCUGGGUCAAAACUGACGCUCAUGCACGAAAGCGUGGGGAGCAAACAGG